ACAGCUGCUGUCGGGGACAAUGCCACUGUGUCAAAAUAAGUUCAAAUGUUAUUUUCUUCUUCCCUUAUAGCACAAAUUUCUUUUAAUUUAAGUAUAUCAAAGAUUAUGAAACAGUGUUCUUCAAUCGCAGCAUAAUUCAAUUUUCUCUCCUCUUUUAGCACUGUGCAAGCCUCUGUUUCCACGAAAGUACGUACAAGAAGUGGCAGGAGGAGGUCCUGAAGGCGUACACUCACUUCUCGUUCUUGCUGAACAAGGACGACAGUGAGCUGGACGAGCAGGAUUGGUUCAGAGUCGGGAUAGCACUCAAGGGACUGGAUCUAAUGUUUAAGCGAAGGACGGGUAGAGACUUGUCAAUGACCCACCCAGUCAUUUUUGAAGAGUUGAGUUGAAUGAGGGUGAAGGCAUCAAGCGCUGCACCCAAGCAGCCGCUGCAGCUGAUUACUCCACCAACGGACGCUCUUCAUCGUCUCCAUUGCCGGCAGGCAAAUGCCGCCAUGGCAAUACAGUGCCUUGAGAUCCAGAUAAGUGACUUGACACUACAAAACCGUAAAUCAAUUUAUCUUUAUUUAACUGCGUUGUGUUUCUGUGUCUAGACUGAUAUCGUCAUCCCCACUGUGGCUUCGAAGGAAGCUGCCUGCCAGGAAGGACGCACGAAACUUGCUUGAAAAAGCAUGCACGAGCAAGAAAUAGAUUGCAGGACUUUGAAUUAAAACUGUUGUCUUUCUGUGUUUAGAUUGACCCCUUGCCGACUGGCCUUGACAACCCGAGCGUAGAUGCAAUUUGCCAGGUAGUAUGCACGAAACUGUGGCUUCGGAGGAAGCCGCCUGCCAGGAAGGACGCACGAAACUUGCUCGAAAAAGCAUGCACGAGCAAGAAAUAGAUUGCAGGACUUUGAAUUAAAAUUGUUGUCUUUCUGUGUUUAGACUGACCCCUUCCAGACCGGCCUUGACAACCCAAGCGUAGAUGCAACUUGCCAGACUGAUCCCGUCCCAAUUCAGUACCACCCAUCGAGGGAGAGACCAGCCAGUGUGAUACCCCUGGCGCCCUUGAGGUGGACGAGGACAUAAAGGAAGUGGAGGACGAGGAAAAGGUACAAAUUUAAAUGCCAUAGUGCUGAUGGCCUCACGUGUGCCAGGCUAAUAUAGUGCGGUUGAUUAAUCUACACCCUAUGUUUCUCUUGUCAUGGCAGCCUAAGAAAUCCAGCGCUCCACGAAGCGCCCACCUAACUUCAUUGCUCCACCUCUGAGUUUAUCAUGUUAUUUGUCUUUGCCCAGUGUGAUACCCCUGGCGCACUUGAGCUUAAUGUGAAAGAGGAAAUGAAGGAAGAAGAAGACGAGGAAAAGUGUGAUACCCCUGGCGCACUUGAGCUUAAUGUGAAAGAGGAAAUGAAGGAAGAAGAAGACGAGGAAAAGUCAAUCGAUGCUGACAACCAGCAGCUGGAACUGCUCACACUCGCCGAGUUUGCGCUAUUUCUCCAGCGCCAACAUGGCGGAGAACUUAAGCAAGCCAUGGCCAGAGAUAGCCGCUAAGGUUCAAUCUAUCACAAACGCCAAGGCGCCAUCCGGCAGCUACCUCCUGGACGCCUUUGUGGAUAUAAAUAGGGUCUGGGGCCGCUUUUUCCUUCCAAGACGAGAAGGGCCCCGACCAUCUCAAGGCCACAACCCUGCAGGGAUACUGCGAUGCCCUACAGCAAUUCCUGGGGUACAUCCUUAAAAGCUCCGAGGCGUGCCCUUCAAGGGCUGAGCGGCUGGCUCCAAGCGCCUCCAGGCCGUCCUCCCUGCCUGGAAGACAUGCCUUAGGAAGUAUAAAAAAAUGGGAGCGUGGGGUGCAUCACCUGGAAGAUUGCGAAAACGUCCUGGACAUGUCACAGGUCAAGGAAUUCCUCAAUUCUGUGCCUGCCAAGAAGUGUACCGCCCGAAUAGACCUGGCCUUGCAGCAGUACGAAAAAGGGCUGCGCAAAAGCCCCGUCACUACGAAGGAGGUCGUCAACUGUAGAAAUUAUCUUAUCAUCUGCCUGGUGUUCAUGCCUUUCUUUUUAUAAAUUAAUCCCCUGCUCACCACAUACAGUACUUUUAUUAUUUUUCAUUAUUAAUAGUGUUACAAUGUCUACAAAAAAACAAUUACAUAAAAAAUAAAAAUAAAAUUUAGUGUAGCUACAUAGUGAAGUUACGGAAUUAAUUUAAUUAAUGCAUUAAAAAAGUAUUAUGUUAAUAACGGAAUAAGCUUUUCCCAUUUGUUUAAAUGAACUAUUGUGGAAUUCCUAUCUCUUGCAAUAAUAUAUUUAUUAUUUAUUAUUUUUGUUUGGAUCAAUUUACUCUUAAAAUUUGAGAAAUUAGGAAUUUGCGACUUGAGCUUACACAAAAAGAUGAAAUGUUUUGCCGCCAAGAUAACAUACAGUACGCAUGUAGAUGCAAUCUGACUACUGAUAAGCUCCCUCUCCCUAACUUUUUUUCUGGUAUUUGCCUUAGUUAUCCUCUAGCCUGCGAAAAAAAAACAUUUUGCGCUUGCCAAAAGUGACUCCCACGUCAAAUCAUACUGUUGAAGUAUUUGACCCCAUUCUUGUACCAAAAAAAAAAAAAAAACAUGGGCUGGUUAUUUGGGUAACUCUUUUUUCUGUUAUUUUCUUUAGUGUCAAGUGAUUAAUCAAUACGAUAUUCUAUCGUUGGGAUGGUAGAAUUAUAGCCAUUUUGUUUGAGUACAAAACCUGUGCCACAUCGUGACCAAAAGAACUUCUUUUGUAAAAAUGACUCUUGUCAAAUAGACGCUUCAAAAUAAACCAUUACCAAAGAA